GAGCUGGAGUUGCAGCAGAGAUUCCAGGACAACAGGCAAACUCCAGAGGAGCUUCUCCUCUGAUGGGGUCUCAGUGUCAGGGCAAGACAGAGACCCUGCCUGGGAAGGAAGACCUCGGGGCCGAUGGAGGAGGCAGAGAUUUCCGGAAGGGAACAUGCAGUAAGAACCACAACAGGAGCUUGUGCCAAUUGCUAAGUACAGCCUGGCAAGGUCCAUCCCUAAUGAAGGAACAGGCCUGUGCCUCCACCUGGACCAAGCUCCAAGCCCUCCCUGGAACUCAAAUCUGGAACAGAAUGAAAUGAAAAGGACGGCCGGGUAGGAUUCCCACCUCUCCAGCAUUCUGUCUGAGUAAACCAUUCCAGCAUUAGACCAUUCUUCUCUAUCCUGCUUCUUGUGCCUGGAAGUGGCCCAGAUUCCCACCUUUUUCCAAGCCUGGCUCUUCAGACUUCUACCAAUUCUGUAAAAAUCUGAUAUCCUUCAAAUAAGUUCUUUUUGGCCAGAAAAAACUAGACUGCUUGCAACCAAGAAACCCUGACUAAUAGACCAGCCUUGGGGACACACUUCCACGCUCUGUGUGUUGGCUUUUUUCUUUUUCCCUCUUGACUUCCUCCCCAUUGAGACCUGGCCUUGGCAGCCCCAAGACCAGAGAGAAGAAACCCAGGAUUGGGCUCUCAUUGUGCCCAUUGCUCAACAGUCACUGAGGCCUGGCAGGUGAAGUCAUGUGAAAGGACAGCAGCCCC
rnacentral:lncRNA from 1 species